rnacentral:tRNA from 1 species
GCCGGGGUGGCGAAAUCGGUAGACGCAAGGGACUUAAAAUCCCUCGGCCUUCCGGCCAUGCGGGUUCGACCCCCGCCCCCGGCACCA